GAUGAAGAACGCAGUGAAAUGCGAUACGUAGUGUGAAUUGCAGAAUUCAGUGAAUCAUCGAAUCUUUGAACGCACAUUGCACCUCUCGGUAUUCCGGGAGGUAUGCCUGUUCGAGCGUCAUUUGUACCCUCAAGCUCUGCUUGGUGUUGGGUGUUUGUUCCGCCUCUGUGUGUGAACUCGCCUCAAAACAAUUGGCAGCCGGCGUACUUGUUUCGGAGCGCAGCACAUUUUGCGAUCCAGAUCAACGUACAGCGGCAUCCAAGAAGCCUUAUUUAACGCUCUUGACCUCGGAUCAGGUAGGGAUACCCGCUGAACUUAAGCAUAUCAAUAAGCGGAGA
rnacentral:misc_RNA from 1 species